UACGUAGGGACCAAGCGUUGUCCGGAAUUAUUGGGCGUAAAGAGCUCGUAGGCGGUCUGUCGCGUCGGCUGUGAAAACUUGGGGCUCAACCCCAAGCCUGCAGUCGAUACGGGCAGACUAGAGUGCGGUAGGGGAGACUGGAAUUCCUGGUGUAGCGGUGAAAUGCGCAGAUAUCAGGAGGAACACCGGUGGCGAAGGCGGGUCUCUGGGCCGUAACUGACGCUGAGGAGCGAAAGCGUGGGGAGCGAACAGG
rnacentral:rRNA from 1 species